rnacentral:rRNA from 1 species
AUGCUAAGAAGCCUAAAAGGGUAUCAAACUCUUUGUGAUGUGCAAAAGAAGUCAAUACCACACAGAAAUCCUCAAAAGGAAGGAGUGGGCUUUAAAAGGAAACUCAACGUUGAUGGAACUUACUGGACUCCCGAGCAAUAUCCUCGAAUGAGUUGGGUUCUUGCGAAAAGCAAAACACUUGAACCUGCAAUUCUGUUAGGAUAUGACACUUCCAUUACUGCCAUUUUUGAUGAGUCUGAUGACUUGAACUACAAGUUGUUCAAACAAAAGAAUGGUAAGGUUUUCGCUCGAUAUGUUUGGACUAACUGCAGGUUUGGUUCACCCAAGAAGCAAAUCUGGGUGAAGAAGUGCAUCUGUCACUGGUAA